UGGGAUGCUGAGGUUUUGUGUUAGGACCAAGGGCGAGUCUGAUGGCUGUUCUGGUUUGCCCUGCUUCAUGCCAUGGCCUAAAGAUGGUAACCUGUCUGACUUCUUUCUAAUGAAGUUUGUUGAGGUUUCCUUUGUGGCCUACUACGAGUUUAGGAUAAGAAGGGGAAUGUGGAGAUUGUGCCUGGUUUACUAUUUUUAUCCAGCCUCCUCAACUUUGUAUGUAAUGAGGAUUGAUGUCUUAA